UAAUGGGUUUUGAUUUUAUGCUUAGUUAAGCUAAUAGAAUUGCAUCUACAAUAAGCCUAUGAAUUUUAAUUGAUGUUGAUUUUAUUAAUUUAGUUUUUAGUAGUUCUUUUAAUUGUUUCAUUUUCUUCAUUUUCAAUGCAAGCUACAUUAUUUGUUUGAAUAUGGUUAUUUAGAUUCUAGACAGUAAUCGUGUGAAUUGAUUAGUGUUUUUGAUCUAUGGAACUACUUAUUUUUUAGAAGCAGUAGAUGGAAUACACUCUGUGGUCUGAAAAUUAUGUGAUGUUGGUUAUCUAUGUUUUUCUCAGCCACUUUUUCUCUCUAGUUUUCUGGGUUUUUCAUGUAAACUGUACUUUGUGGUUUCGAUAUACGAGUUGUUGAUCACACUAAACAACGAGGCCGGAUUCAAGGAAAAAGAUGGAUGGAGAUGGUGAUAUUGAUAUCUCCAAAUCAUGGCUAAUGCUAUUUUGAAAGGUUAGCUUAAAAGCUCCCCUAGUUUCUUAAUUUGUAUUGAAUGGAUAAUUAUGCUAUUCAUCUUUGGGAGAUUUUGGCCUUUCAUUAAAACAAUUUAUUUAGAAGUUCUCUAUCAACCUUAUAUAUAAAACUUAUGUUGCUCUGA